UGGGGAAUAUUGGACAAUGGGCGAAAGCCUGAUCCAGCCAUGCCGCGUGUGUGAAGAAGGUCUUCGGAUUGUAAAGCACUUUAAGUUGGGAGGAAGGGCAUUAACCUAAUACGUUAGUGUUUUGACGUUACCGACAGAAUAAGCACCGGCUAACUCUGUGCCAGCAGCCGCGGUAAUACAGAGGGUGCAAGCGUUAAUCGGAAUUACUGGGCGUAAAGCGCGCGUAGGUGGUGUGUUAAGUUGGAUGUGAAAUCCCCGGGCUCAACCUGGGAACUGCAUUCAAAACUGACUGACUAGAGUAUGGUAGAGGGUGGUGGAAUUUCCUGUGUAGCGGUGAAAUGCGUAGAUAUAGGAAGGAAAACCAGUGGCGAAGGCGACCACCUGGACUAAUACUGACACUGAGGUGCGAAAGCGUGGGGAGCAAACA
rnacentral:rRNA from 1 species